UACGUAGGGGGCAAGCGUUGUCCGGAUUUAUUGGGCGUAAAGAGCGUGUAGGCGGCCGUACAGGUCAGCUGUGAAAACUCGAGGCACAACCUCGAGACGUCGGUUGAAACCGUACGGCUAGAGUCCGGAAGAGGAGAGUGGAAUUCCCGGUGUAGCGGUGAAAUGCGCAGAUAUCGGGAAGAACACCCGUGGCGAAGGCGGCUCUCUGGGACGGUACUGACGCUGAGACGCGAAAGCGUGGGGAGCGAACAGG
rnacentral:rRNA from 1 species